rnacentral:rRNA from 1 species
CUCCUCCUACGGGGCGCAGCAGUGAGGAAUAUUGGUCAAUGGACGAGAGUCUGAACCAGCCACGUGGCGUGAAAGAUGACUGCCCUAUGGGUUGUGAACUUCUUUUAUAUGGGAAUAAAAUGUUCCACGUGUGGGAUUUUGUAUGUACCAUAUGAAUAAGGAUCGGCUAACUCCGUGCCAGCAGCCGCGGUAAUACGGAGGAUCCGAGCGUUAUCCGGAUUUAUUGGGUUUAAAGGGAGCGUAGGUGGAUUGUUAAGUCAGUUGUGAAAGUUUGCGGCUCAACCGUAAAAUUGCAGUUGAAACUG